rnacentral:rRNA from 1 species
AUCGAACGCUGGCGGCACGCCUAACACAUGCAAGUCGAGCGGCAGCGAGACUAGUAGCAAUACUAGUUGUCGGCGAGCGGCGGACGGGUGAGUAACACGUAGGAAUCUGCCCUUAAGCGGGGGAUAACCAAGGGAAACUUUGGCUAAUACCGCAUAAUCUCGAGAGAGCGAAGCUGCCCGCAAGGGUGGCACUUGAGGAGGAGCCUGCGUCCGAUUAGCUAGUUGGUGGGGUAAUGGCCUACCAAGGCGAUGAUCGGUAACUGGUCUGAGAGGACGACCAGUCACACUGGGACUGAGACACGGCCCAGACUCCUACGGGAGGCAGCACUGGGGAAUAUUGGACAAUGGGGGCAACCCUGAUCCAGCGAUGCCGCGUGAGUGAAGAAGGCCUUCGGGUCGUAAAGCUCUUUAGGUUGGGAAGAAGGGUAUUGGCUGAAUAAUCCAGUACUUUGACGGUACCGACAGAAUAAGCACCGGCAAACUCCGUGCCAGCCGCCGCAGUAACAC